rnacentral:rRNA from 1 species
AGAGUUUGAUCAUGGCUCAGGAUGAACGCUAGCUACAGGCUUAACACAUGCAAGUCGAGGGGAAACGACAUCGAAAGCUUGCUUUUGAUGGGCGUCGACCGGCGCACGGGUGAGUAACGCGUAUCCAACCUGCCCACCACUUGGGGAUAACCUUGCGAAAGUAAGACUAAUACCCAAUGAUAUCUCUAGAAGACAUCUGAAAGAGAUUAAAGAUUUAUCGGUGAUGGAUGGGGAUGCGUCUGAUUAGCUUGUUGGCGGGGUAACGGGCCACCAAGGCGACGAUCGAGUAGGGGUUCUGAGAGGAAGGUCCCCCANAUUGGAACUGAGACACGGUCCAAACUCCGUACGGAGGCA